rnacentral:rRNA from 1 species
CAAUAGUGUAUAUUAAAAUUGUUGCAGUUAAAAAGCUCGUAGUUGGAUUUCUGUCUGUAGUAGUCGAGCCACUCCGUGUGGGUGUGCUUACCACUACAGUCAUCCUUCUGUUAACGGUUCUGGCCUUCAUUGGUCGGUUCCGGGCUCAGAUACUUUACCUUGAGAAAAUUAGAGUGUUUCAGGCAGGCUUGCGCCCGAAUACAUUAGCAUGGAAUAAUAGAAUAGGACUUCGUCUCAUUUUGUUGGUUUAUGAACGGAGUAAUGAUUAAUAGGGAUAGUUGGGGGCAUUAGUAUUUCAAUGUCAGAGGUGAAAUUCUUUGAUUUUUGAAAGACUAACUUAUGCGAAAGCAUUUGCCAAGAAUGUUUUCAUUAA